CUGGAAGAAACCCUCACCCAGUUUCCCCUGCAGCCUGGGCAGGUGGCCACCUUCACUGUCACCAUGAAAGCGAGCCUGGACUUCUCCUGCCAGGAGGGUCUCCUGCAGGACCUGAGUGACGGUGGUUGUCCUAAAGGAGUGGAAUGCUGUGAUUUCCACCCCCCCGAAGUGUACCUGCUGUGUUGGUGGGACACAGUGGUGAUGAUGGAGUUCUCCCAUCUGGUGAUGCCAGUAAGGAGACGGAGCUGGGGGCAAUGGGAAUUGUAUCUGCUGCAGCAAUAGGCCUGGCCUUGUGGGGACGUGAGUUCACAGGUUAGCUGUGUCAUGUUGUCACAUGCACUUCUGGAGGCCUUGGGCUUGUGUUAGUCAGCUCAGGCUGCUGUAACAAACCCCACAGCUGGCCUGGCCCGGACACAGGCGUUGAUUUUCUGCUGGUUCUCAGCAUUGCAAGUCUGACCCAGGUGCUAGCAUGGUUGGGUUCCUGGUGAGGGCGGCCAUCUUCUUGCUUUGUUCUCAUUGGGUGGAGGCAGAUCAGCUCUCUGGUAUUCUUCCCCUUCCCUUUUUUGUUUUUUAAGAUUUAUUUAUUUACUUGAGGGGCAGUUAUGGGUGUGUGGUGAGGUAGAAACACACAGGGACGCAUGUGCGCACACACACACAUGCACAGAAACACACAGAGUGGGAGAGAAGAAAAUCUUCCAUCUGCUGGUUCACUCCCCAAAUAGCCACAAUGGCAGGAAUUGUGCCUGGCAGAAGUCAGGAACCUGGAACACCAUCUAGGUUUCCAGUGUGUGUGUCAACGUCCCAAGCUUGAGCCAUGUCCUGCUCCUUUUCCCGGCACAUUAGCAGAGAACUGGAUCAGAAGUGGAGUAGCCAAGACAUGAACUGGUGUUCACAUGGGGUGCUGGGGACACAGGUGGUGACUUAACCCCCUGUGCUGCAACACCAGCCCCAGUAAGAACAUUUCAAUCCUGUGUUUUAAGGACUUUGGAGUCUUCAUAUACAGUGCAUGACUUUCGUCUCCAUGAACAUGCUAGCCUGCGCAAGCCGUGAGGAGAGGAGCCGUCCUCGUCGCUGCUGGCCGAGCCUGAGGAGACCCAGCGGCCCCAGGGUCAGGCCGGGAUGAGGAGAGGCUGCGUGUCCGAGGCUGCCGCGCCGUUUCCCAGGCGCAUUUCUCCUCUUCGGCCCCAUCCGGAAACGACGGCCUUCGCGGACCUCUGUCCCACCAGCAGACCGGACCCCCCUUGGAGAGAAGCUGUACGGUGACUUCCUGAGCUGGAAGCUGGAAGAAACCCUCACCCAGUUUCCCCUGCAGCCUGGGCAGAUGGCCACCUUCACUGUCACCAUGAAAGCGAGCCUGGACUUCUCCUGCCAGGAGGGUCU